UGGAUACUAGCCCUCUGUUGGAUGUAGUGUUGGUGAAGUUCUUUACUCGAUUUGUAGGCUACCAUCUUGUCCUGUUGGCAGUAUCCUUUGCCUUACAGAAGCUUUUCAGUUUUAUGAUGUCCCAGUAAUCAAUUGUUGAUCUUAUAGCCAUUGGUGACUUGUUCAGAAGUUGUCCCCUGUACCAACGUAUUCAGAGCUAUUUCCCACUUUCUCUUUCAUUAGACUCAGUGUAUCCAGUUUUAUGGUGAGGUCUUUGAUCCAUUUGAGUUGACUUUCUUUUUCAUUUGUUCAGAAGAUGAUCUCAUUUUUUUUUCUUAAAAGGCGAUGCCUUGUGAAUGAAGUCCCUUGAAACUCAUAAUUGUACUUUAUUUGCCCACACUGAGAUGUCAGGUAACUAAGUGUUUGCCUACUUUCUCUAAGUAAUUUUUAAGUAGCAUAUGAGCACAUUUGACAUCCGUUAAUUUUCUCGGAUAUAUAACUGGUUAAGUCAAUGACCACUAAUUUAUAUCUUUGCCUUUAAAAACUACUAGAAGUUGCCAUUUUCUACUCAUCUUUAUGUCUUUCCAAUGACUCCAUCUGCAUCAAUGAUCACUGUGCAUUAAUCACAUCAUCUACCUCAUACUUUAAAGUAUGAAUUUAAAAAAGUUAGGAUUUUUAUCGAAACCUCAUCUGAACAUCCAGGGUUUUGAAUGUCACAUCUCAAACACUGAGCUUAAGUUUGGAGAAGCUCCUUUCUCCCUAGGACCCCCUCCCCACGUUCCCUCACGUUGUUUGAAGAUGUGUCCCUGUAUUUCCAGUUGCUACUUCUGUACCAGUAGAGAGCUAAGUGGUGACGGGAUCUUGAUACUGUCAUUUCUAUGGCCCAUCCUUGGUUUUCUAUAUGGAAAUGCUUGCCCUUCCUCACCUGCCCAAAGAUGAAGGUCAGAUGGGCCUCAUUGCCUAAGGGCCACCCUAAGAGAUGGACCAGAUCAUCUUGCUGCUGAUUGGUAAAGGCUGGACUAUGCUUUUUGUAUAAUAAAGAGCUGAUGGCCAAACCUGGAGCUGGAUCUAGGGAGGGACUCCUAGGUAGAGAGGGAAGGAGAUGCAGGAGACUCAAAGAGAUGCACAGAUGGACGGAGACACAGAAAGAAGCAGAAUGGAGAGAGCAGAUAGUGAGAAUCACAUGAGGAGACAGGAGGCAGAGAAGUUAGGAUAAAUUUAGAUGAGCUAGCUGAGAGAUUGACCUAGGACAAGGCCAACAGCUUUAAACUACAUAGACGUCUCUGUGUCUUAUUUAAAUUGCAUGUGGGUCCUGGAAGCCUCAUAAUAAGACAGAAAGCAGUUUGAAGUUUCAGAAAAUAUAUUGAACAAAAUCAUAGAAGAAAAAUUUUACAACCUAGAGAAGAAGAUGCAUACAAGAAGCAUACAGAACACGAAAUAGAUCAAACCAAAAUAGAGAGUCCUUUCAGCAUAUAAUAAUAAAAACACAAAACAUACUGAAAAAAUAUUAAAACUGCAAGGGAGAAGGCCAAGUUAUGAUGUUUGGUGCAGAAAUACAAACUUUGACUAAGACAAUAAGGUAAACAUUUGAAACAGACUUAUAAUUCCUACUGAAGAGCAGUCAUCAAAAUCAACCAAAA
rnacentral:sRNA from 1 species